UCGAGAAUCUUCCACAAUGGACGAAAGUCUGAUGGAGCGACGCCGCGUGAUGGAUGAAGUACUUCGGUAUGUAAACAUCUUUUAUGGGGGAAGAAGUUUUGACGGUACCCCAUGAAUAAGAGGUUGCUAAACUCGUGCCAGCAGCAGCGGUAAUACGAGUGCCUCAAGCGUUAUCCGGAAUUACUGGGCGUAAAGGGUGUGUAGGCGGUCGUAAUUAGUCUUUCGUUAAAGCCCCGGGCUUAACUCGGGAUCUGCGAAAGAAACGGUACGACUAGAGAAUGCGAGGGGUAUGCGGAACUCAAAGUGUAGGGGUGAAAUCCGUUGAUAUUUUGGGGAACACCAAAAGCGAAAGCAGCAUACUGGCGCAUUUCUGACGCUGAGACACGAAAGCGUGGGUAGC
rnacentral:rRNA from 1 species